UAAACGAUGAGUGCUAGGUGUCGGCGAAUGUCGGUGCCGCAGUUAACACAAUAAGCACUCCGCCUGGGGAGUACGUGCGCAAGCAUGAAACUCAAAGGAAUUGACGGGGACCCGCACAAGCAGCGGAGCAUGUGGUUUAAUUCGAAGCAACGCGAAGAACCUUACCAGGGCUUGACAUACUGAGGACGUACUUAGAGAUAAGUAUACUUCUUCGGAAGCCUCAAUACAGGUGGUGCAUGGCUGUCGUCAG
rnacentral:rRNA from 1 species